UACGUAGGGGGCAAGCGUUGUCCGGAUUUAUUGGGCGUAAAGAGCGUGUAGGCGGCCUGAAAGGUCAGCUGUGAAAACUCGAGGCUCAACCUCGAGACGUCGGUUGAAACCAUCUGGCUAGAGUCCGGAAGAGGAGUGUGGAAUUCCCGGUGUAGCGGUGAAAUGCGCAGAUAUCGGGAAGAACACCCGUGGCGAAGGCGGAACUCUGGGACGGUACUGACGCUGAGACGCGAAAGCGUGGGGAGCGAACAGG
rnacentral:rRNA from 1 species